GCCCCGCAAGGGGAGCGGCAGACGGGUGAGUAACGCGUGGGAAUCUACCCAUCUCUACGGAACAACUCCGGGAAACUGGAGCUAAUACCGUAUACGUCCUUCGGGAGAAAGAUUUAUCGGAGAUGGAUGAGCCCGCGUUGGAUUAGCUAGUUGGUGGGGUAAUGGCCUACCAAGGCGACGAUCCAUAGCUGGUCUGAGAGGAUGAUCAGCCACACUGGGACUGAGACACGGCCCAGACUCCUACGGGAGGCAGCAGUGGGGAAUAUUGGACAAUGGGCGAAAGCCUGAUCCAGCCAUGCCGCGUGAGUGAUGAAGGCCCUAGGGUUGUAAAGCUCUUUCAACGGUGAAGAUAAUGACGGUAACCGUAGAAGAAGCCCCGGCUAACUUCGUGCCAGCAGCCGCGGUAAUACGAAGGGGGCUAGCGUUGUUCGGAAUUACUGGGCGUAAAGCGCACGUAGGCGGAUACUUAAGUCAGGGGUGAAAUCCCGGGGCUCAACCCCGGAACUGCCUUUGAUACUGGGUAUCUCGAGUCCGGAAGAGGUGAGUGGAAUUCCGAGUGUAGAGGUGAAAUUCGUAGAUAUUCGGAGGAACACCAGUGGCGAAGG
rnacentral:rRNA from 1 species